rnacentral:rRNA from 1 species
GACGAACGCUGGCGGCGUGCUUAACACAUGCAAGUCGAACGGAUAGGCCCUGCUUGUGUGUGGUUCCAGAGUGGCGAAGGGGAGAGUAACAUGGGAGUCACCUGGCCUGGGCGGUGGGAUAACUUGAGGAGAGUGGUGCUAAUACCGGAUAGGAGAGCCUGCUGCAUGGUGGGGGUUGGAAAGUUUCGGCCGUUGUGGAUGGACUCGCGGCUUAUCAGCUGGUUGGUGGGGGAGUGGCUAACCAAGGCUUUGACGGGUGGCGGGCCUGAGAGGGUGGCCGGCGUCGUUGGGCCUACGGUACGGCCCAGACUCGUACGGGAGACAGUGGUGGGUAGUAUGGUGCAGUCAGCGCACGUCUGAUGCAGCAACGCCGCGUGCGGAAUGACGGUCUUCGGGUUGAAAACGGCUUUCGCCUGUGACGAAGCAUGAGUGACGGUAAUGGGUAAAGAAGCACCGGCUAACUACGUG